AGGCAGUCUUCGAAGUUGUUAUUACGCGUUGAAUUUGUGUAGAAAAUACUCAUCGAAUCAAAAUAAACACGUCUUAAGAGUUAUCUGGUAGUUGAGAUACAGUGAAAUCUGAGUGAAGCUGAGGCGAUAUUGAAUACAGCAUAUUAAAUCUUGUGUUUGUCAUUAGGCCUGACAAAAAUUGGUGUGUUUAUACAUUCGUUCAAGAAAUAAAGUAUUGCAAAUUUC